rnacentral:rRNA from 1 species
UUAGACAGCUAGGAUGUUGGCUUAGAAGCAGCCAUCAUUUAAAGAAAGCGUAAUAGCUCACUAGUCGAGUCGGCCUGCGCGGAAGAUGUAACGGGGCUGAAAUAUAGCACCGAAGCUGCGGCAUCAGGCGUAUCACUAAUACGCCUUACGAUUAACAAGCUAGAAUGGCGCGAAGCGGCAUGAAAGGUUGUUCAAGCAACCCGAACGUUGAGUCGGGGUAUUUUUGAAGUAAGGAUUAUUAGUGAUACGCCUGUUGGGUAGGGGAGCGUUGUGUAAGCGGAUGAAGGUUAAUCGAGAGGUUAGCUGGACGUAUCACAAGUGCGAAUGCUGACAUAAGUAACGAUAAAACGGGUGAAAAACCCGUUCGCCGGAAGACCAAGGGUUCCUGUCCAACGUUAAUCGGGGCAGGGUGAGUCGGCUCCUAAGGCG